rnacentral:rRNA from 25 species
UCAAAACGGAGAGUUUGAUCCUGGCUCAGGAUGAACGCUGGCGGUAUGCUUAACACAUGCAAGUCGAACGGAGUUCUUCGGAACUUAGUGGCGGACGGGUGAGUAACGCGUGAGAAUCUGGCUUCAGGUUCGGGACAACAGUUGGAAACGGCUGCUAAUACCGGAUGUGCCUUAGGGUGAAAGAUUUAUCACCUGAAGAUGAGCUCGCGUCUGAUUAGCUAGUAGGUGUGGUAAGAGCGCACCUAGGCGACGAUCAGUAGCUGGUCUGAGAGGA